UCAAGAAAUGCACAUGCUAAGAUGAAGGUUUUCUUCUAUUAGAUAUCUCAAAGGCAAAUAUCUGACUGUAUCGUUCAAGGCAGCUUUCAGUUGGUAGAGAGAAAAAAGCCUCUCCAGAGAGCAAUGCAUCUGGCUUGGACCUUUAUUUCUGCAUUAAAUGAACUCCCUUCUGGAGAAGGCUGUGUCAGCAGUGAGGGCACCUGGGCACACAGGGAGGCAACCACAAGAAAUACAGCAGCAGAGGGGCAGUGAGCUCUGGCAGAAGGGGGUCUCUGGGUGCAGAUCCCUCCAUCAGUCAUCCUCCAGCAGGGAAAUAAUGUGAAACCCCAACAGAGGCUGCAGCCUAAAUUCCUUGUGUGGUCAGGGUAAAUGUGGUCAGGAAAACUGAGAUAGUUUCCUCCGUGAUGUGAGUUGAUGUCUCUCAAAUGCAGCUCACCAGGACAGUAAAUCUGGAUCUGGGGAGUGCUCGUACUGGACCCAAAAUAUGCAAAGUGCCAACAAGGUCCAAACGCAUUCUGCCAGCUUUCCCUUCUGAAGCUUGUUGAUAUUUAAUGACAGCGCCCAUCUGAAGCUGCAUUGCACAUUCCUGUUAACCUGGUCUUGUUCUCACAGAUGCACCAGAGCCAACCGUUUAUGUUGUUUUUGCCCUUGGAAAUGAAUGGAAACCAUGCCACCAUGGAUAGCACAUGUAAAAUGUAGUAAUCACUGAUCCCAGGAAGCAGUUAGAUAGGUUCAUCUCUCUUCCUCUCCACAGUUCUUUGUUCAACGUGAUCCUUAUGAGUAGGGAGAGUGGUGCUGGCUCUUGGGGUACUAGAACAUCCUACUGUUACCAUCUGUGUGAGGUGUCUGCACACCAUGAAGGCAUGGUGUACACAGCACUAGCACUUUGGGGGCUGAAAGUAAUAGUGCGACUGAUGCUGGUGGUGCAACAGGAUGAUAACUCUGCUUUAUGCCUGAUUUAGUUAUAAUUUCUGUUUGCUAUCACAGAGGAAAAUACCAAUUACCCCCUGUAGGGAGGGCAGAUUAGCUGAUGCUGUGUCACUCUACCACUGGUAGCAGGAUAACACAGGCUCAGUUCCCAGAGGUCUCCAGACAGCUGUCAGAGAAUGAAUUUCUGUUGCUGCUAACCCGCACCAACCCCAAAGUGGUGACCUGGAGGCAAAAAGACUGAGUCGUGUUACAAAUCCCUUCAGCUUUCAGAUGUGCCUUUAUUUGUUCUCUAACACCAAAAGGUUUAGUUAAUAGGGAUUAUCAUUUUUCAUGGCAUCUCUCAUUUGUGCAAAAAUUGGUCUGGAGACCAAUUUCCAAGAAUUCCUUCUCUUUAGGAAUUUUUCCCAUGACAUGUUUUAGCACUCUCCUUACCAGUAUUUUCAAUUCUGGUUUAAAGCUUCAGGAAUAAAAUUUAACCAUUCAUUACAAAAGUAAUUUUCCUUAAUUGAAAACUGAUAUUUUUAUGUGGAAAACAAAGCAGAUAGAAAAAAAUGGUAAUACAUCUUCAAAGAGCUAGACUUCAAAGCUAAAAAGAAACAGUUGUAAUGUCACGUCAGGGUUUCUAGAUUCCCCAGAUUCUCAUAUCCCAUUUUUGUUACCCUUUAUGUUAUACCCAUUCUUUGUUUCUGAGUUUUAUCUUCAUUUCUGUCCAUCCACAGUUUCGGGGUCAGAUUUACAUCUGAUUUAAUCUAUUGUAUGGAAAAGUCUCACUGAAACUGCUGAGAUUAUGACAAAAAAUGUGCAGCAUCAGAUGCUUCAUCUGCAUGAAGCUAUUUGAUGUGUUACUGUGGUGGCAGGCAGACUCUGGUCACUGUCAUGCUGUUUUUGCACCAGUAAAACUGUGAUCAGAAUCUGCUUGUGAUAGGUUUAGGAUUUGAGGUACUGGCUUACAGUAAUAGCUCUUGGUGGCACUUAUGAGUUGCAAGUAAAAGAGAGGGCCACUAAGAGAUGGAAAAUCAGAAUUUUUGCCUCAGAAUAAACAAGAAGUUUACAAGUAAGCAGAUUUUACUUUACAGAAAUAGAAUGUAAUAUGGUGUGUUUCCACUGGGCAAAUAGAGAAGAAAAAAAUAAAAUAAAAUAAAAUAAAAAAAGAUUUUUUUCCAUUAUAUUGACAGCUAACCAGCUUUAUGAAAGUAUGCUGAUGCUUUGGUGGGAGCAGCUGGCAAAUAGCUCUGAUAUGUAUGGGAAGAGCCAUGUGUCAGCAUCAAAGGAGUAGCAAAAGUUCACUUUGGGUUUAGCAAAGGCAAUGCUUGAUCUUGCAAUCCUAUCCCCAGUGAUUUUAAUAAUCGCCAAAUAACAAGUGAAAAGCUUAAUCCUUCCAUCAGCGCAAAUCCACUAGAGGGAAACCAAUUUAGGGAAAUCUCUGAAGAGGCAAACGAGCUAGCCUUUUCCUGCAUGGCCUGUGAAAAGAGCUGGAGACACUGCCAAAAAAAAUACCAUUGUGCUUCAGGAAGGCUAAGAAGAAAGGUCAGAGCCAAAUGUCAAUCAGCAACCACAGUCCCUGCAGGAGAAGACCCCACAGCACCCAAGCAGUGACUGUUUGUCGUCAGAAGAGGACCUGAGCACCUCCAAGGCACUCAGUAGUAUUCAUUGCUCUUAACUUGGCAUGUCUACAAUAUAAAUGUCUAUUGCUGUUCCCACCACCCUGCCUUCCUUCUGUGGCUUGUCUGUCUGCAGUGACAGACUGGUCCAGCUGCCAGAGCAGUCCCCAGCAUUAUUUCUGCCAGGGGCUUCCAAUUCCUCUCCCAGAGACCUGAUGGGCUCAGCCGGGGUGGCAGCAGUCAGCCUGGGGCAUCCUCACUGCUCCUGAGGGCAAGAACAUUUCCUGCCAUUCCUUGCCCUUCAUCUUCAGUGACAGAUAGCAGUCCCUGGCACUUUAGUUUUCAACUGCAGACACAGCCUGGACACCUACCUUAGUGCUAGUCACUCAGCUUCCCUUUUUAGCCAAUGGAGGUAAACAGGCACUUUCAGGGUGCAGUCAGAGCCAUUAUAGACUUUAGGAUGAGGAAAAAUGAAUCCUAAGGUGCCUGUAUUUCUCUCUUGACUAUAAAAACAGUCUAGACACUUAGCUCAUAGGCAGAAAUUUACAGUGUGAACAUCUGGAGUUGGUCAGACAAAUCCCACCUCUCCUGUCAAACGUUUACAAAUUUCUUCCGUAAAGACACCAUUAGUGAGGACAGCAUCUGCAGCACACUUGCAGACAAAGAGAUUUCCCUUUAUUUGUUUACCAAAUGUCUUGAGUAGAAAUUUACCUCUCUAAUCCAGUGGGAAAAAAAAAAGGGGGGUGGGGGUGUUAUGAAAGUGCUUAGUUAAAUACACUGCUUAAUUUAGAGAACAUGCAAAAUUUAGUCAGAUAAAUGGAAAUGGGUUUUGAGGUUAACAUAAUCUGCUGUGGAAAAUGGUUGCAAGCGUUGCUCCCUAAGAAACAGACCAAUUUCUCAAAACCUGCAUUGGUAGGAUAGUCUCUGCCCAACAGCCUAAGUGACCUGAUACGUCUUUUCCGUCAGACAUGAAAUUGGACUAAAUAAAAACUGUCUGAUCCAAUGUAAAAAAGUUAACUUAUCGAAAUGAUGUCAGCAUGACUGAGGCAGCACACAGAAUUUAUACCAAAUCAGCAUUUUGCAAGUCUGGCUGCAGUGUUUCUGGUAAGGCAUGUACUUGCUGCUGUUUUGUGUUCUCUGGACUGCUUCCACUGAAAUGCUCAGUGAUUAAAAGAGGGGAAAAUUAGACCAGCAAAACAUGUGAAAAUCCCAUCUGUAAUCCCAUGUACAGUGCAAGGAAGGAUCAAAUGUACAAAAUAACAGGAAUUUUAGCAUCAAACACAAACGUAAAACUUGAGUGUUGUUGAUAUCUGGGUUUAAAUAGGUAUAGUUAAUGCUGCCCUACAUUUGUUCAUCCUUGUUCUUUUAUUCACAGCACUUUGAGCAUACCUGUGGCUAAAAUCUUCCUUGCAUGCUGAGUACGGGCAUGACUCACAAAUGAUAGUGUUUUGUAACUUGAAGCUUCUUCCCCCUGAUGAAUAAUUUGCAGUAGAAUUUCUUUUAUGAGGAGAGAGUAAAAUAUUUAUGCAGCUCAUGAACCGCUGCGGGAAUGGACUUAAUUGCCUUGACCGCGGUCUGCCUUUGCGAGUGGUGGAGCUGGGGAUGGGAGGCUCCCCUCGCUUCCACCAGCUAGGGGAGGGGAUGGUGGCACUCACCACGGGCCACCUUCUCUUCUGACACAACCUGGUGCUAGCUGGUCAUUGCGGUAGGGCCUAUCCACACCUGCUCUGGGCACUUAUUCCCACAUAACACAACUGUUUGGAGACAGCCCGUGGCUCUCAGGGCUGCGAGGUCGGAGCAUCGUUUAUUUUCCUAAGUGUAAGGAAUUAAUGACCUCAUCGAGGUCCCCGUUAGAUGGUGUUUGGUUCCUCACUGGCACAAGCAGUCACCAUGAGUCUUGUUUUCUUUCCAAACGCAGGAAAUCUCCCACCUCGGGGUUUGCUCAGCAGGAUGGAUGAUUCACCCCCAGCUCCACCAUCCCUUCCUCCAGCUCCAGCUGGGGGCUCUAAAUAGAAAAUGGCCUCAGACAGAUUGCGCAUCGGGGAAACCCUUUUCUGACCCAGCGUACACUCUCCGCACAGUAUCUGUUUCAUUGUUAGGAGCACAGACUUCCUGAACUCCAUCCCCCCUCCACGGCCUCUGGCCACCCGACGUCAGCAGUAUUUCCUUGCAUGCCUUUCAUGCCUGAAAUUGUUGGGGCUUAGCUGGGAAACAGAAGGGAUUUGGGGAAACAAGGGUAAGAUAGGGUUUUCUUAGAAAAGAGAGGAAUUUGCUUCCGGACACCACUUUGUUAUGCACUGGCCGUGUUUACUCCGCACUUCACCAUGGCUCAUUUGGCCGCUCAGGCUGCCGCAGUCCCUCAGGCAGAUGUUUCCUGCCCAGAUCCUGCUCUGUACGAUCUAGUGAGGUAGGAGCUGUCCCAGAAAAAUUAUGACUGCUUGGUUUCAAGCUGAGGUGUCUGUGAAAUGUUUACAGGCAAGAUACCACUGUGCCUAUCCUAUUUUUAGGACAAGAACAUAGCCAUGAAGUCAUGCCAGGCCAGAUGGCCUCAGGAUGACAACAGACUCCCCUGUCCAUUUUAUUCACGGGAGCAGAGGUAAUCCUGGGGAAUCUCUGAAUUAAGUUAUUCAGCCCCUGGUUUCAGGCAUCAGUUCAGGUCCAGGAUAGCAUGCUGGAUGAGUGCCACCUUGGAUGGGCUCAGCCGAGAAAAGCCACAGGACCCACAGUUUGUGUUUCAAAGCUGCCCAGUGAUGCCUAGUCCCAUCUAGGGUUUUCUAUCCUCAUUUUUCUGUUAAUGCCCCAAAAGCCAGAUCAGUGUGGAAAAAAAAUCCCAUAGGACCCUUGCCCAAACAUCUGUUACGGCUCGCAGACCAGGAGAGCCGCAGGAGCUCUGCCUGCUAAACACCACCUCUCCUCUGAAGCAAAGGUCUGUAGGGAGACCUCUUGGGCUCUUCUCCACCAGGCUGUCUGGUUUUGUAGGCCAGAAAUCCCAGAUCUGUUCUGCUUGAAGAUGUCCCACUCCACAUGAUGGAGUUUAACACACACCUGGCUGGAGGGAGGAGCAGGGGCUUGUGCAUAGAUGUCCACCAGCUCCCCCAAGAACUUGUGAGGUGCUACAGACACCUGAGUUAUAUCAGAGCAAAGAGUAAUGCUUCUAGAGAAGAGAUGGAGAAGGACUCUAUUCAGAAUGACCUAUAGAUCUGGGGUUAAGAAGAGUGCUUUGGAAAUUAGGAAUGCAGAUUAAUGUUGCCACACUGUUGGCCACCAUGUCCCAGGGGCAGCGUGUCUGACCAGCAGCCUUGCAGCAGGACACAGCAAGGCAAGAAGCUCUUAGCUGCUCCUGGACUGUGAAUAUUUUCCAUGAAAGUAAAUUUCUAACACAAUAGCAUACAGAUGAAAAACAGUCUCUGUACGAAGGUAGAGGAAACAGCUUGGUUUAGCUCUGACUCUGUGUCCUCUGUGACCCCAAUCAAUCUUAUAGCAGCAAAAAAUGAAAGCCCAGCUAUGGCCCUGGCAGCGACAGCGAUGGGGGAAGACCAAGGGACAAAUACAUCUGCAAGAAGCGGGCACUGAUCCAGGCCAGAGGAUGCUCCGCAAUAAGAAUUCCACAUGGCAGACUUUUUUCAGGUGCUAACUGAGCAGGGAUGAUGGCUGGAGAGACACAGGCGUAGGUCAGGCAAAGGCUCUGGCCCCAGGGAGAAGCUUCUUGGAGUCUGCUGGCCCUCCGCCCUGGAGAACCAUAUAUCAAGAUGACUGUGCAUAGAAAGAGCUGCUUACAGGAUGUAUUCCUUUUCCAGCCAGGCUUGUGAAGUCUAGAAUCUCUUAGAUUAAUUCAGCACAAUCCCAUCACGGGUGCAGCAAUGCUGUUGCUACCACACAGGUGGCACAUUUCCCUGCAUCCUGGCUCUUUGCCCUGCUUUUCCUUCCACUGCCUCUUUCCAUCCUGUUCCUCCCUUUCCUACUUUCACCACUGUUGAAAGUAUUGUGGAAUAGGCUGAUCCACGUGGUUUGUGCUGCCUGAGUGUCAUCCCCCUUUUGUCAGCCCGUCGCAGACAUUUCGGCUCUGAGUCAUCAACGAGGACCCGUCCAAACAGUCACCAGCAGCUCAGCGGGGACUCACACUCAGCUGAGAACUCGAAUCGUGCCACUGUGCAGGGGAUGGGUCCCAGCUCCUGGGUGCUCUGUGACUAAACCAACAUCCCCCAUGCUGCUGCAUGAAGCCAUCUCUGCUUACCAGGAGCAGGGAGGGGAGCUGCCCUGCUUCCCUCUCUGCCUGUUAACAGGAUAAUUUGGGUAAAAAUUUGGGAACCCAAGUGCAAUUUGGGGAGGUAGGGGAAGGGACUCCCUCUAUGGCUAAUAAGCUGAUGGCACCGUAAUAUUGAUAUGCCUGCUAAUUAUGUGCUAAUCCCCAAGCUGCAGUGCAGGAUAGCCAUGCAGGGACAGCAGCAAGAUGAAUUCCAAAGCUCUCUGUCUGCCCGAGUCAUGUUACUGCACAACCACUGAUGCCAUCUGGAUCAGCAGCAUAACACGAGGUGACGUUAAUGCACUGGGACACAUCAAGGAUGCGAGAAAGAAGGGGACAAGAUGCUGCUCACAUGUCAC